GUAAAAUCACAAAUAUAGCAAGAGACGUACAUUAAAAAAAAGUUUAUAGAAAAGUGGACAUGGGCAUUUUGACAAGUGCAGGCAUGGGUCAGAAAGGCAAUUCCAAUUGGGGGGGAAACAAUGCAUUCCAGCUCAACAGAAGCUGUUCAGGGGUCAGGGACAUUGUGGUCUCUCCACCAACUGACUUUAUCCCAGUUUCACUAUCGAGGUUAUGAACAUUGUGUAUGCGGACCUGACACCCAAUUGUAGAGCACCCCAUAGGGCUCUGGUCAAAAAGAGCGCACUAUAUAGGGAAUAGAAUGGCACGUUUUUGUUAUUAUAAGGAUGACAAUUUAUAUCUGGAGACAAUUCAAAGAAAAAACCGAAGAAAAAAACCACUCCAACAGAUGCGUUACCUAGCCUAUUUGGAUGUAACAAGCAAUCUUUGUUUUUUUUAAAAAUUGUCUCUGGCUUUGUCUGAUUCAAUCAAAGGCAGUAGCUCUUUUGGUGGUUUCGUUUCCAGGGUAAACAGAAGUGAGAGAGAGAAAGGCCACUUAGGCCUACACCCUAAACACCUCUGUGACUGCAGCUUCCUGCAAGACCAGUCCAUAACACACCAGCUCAGAAGCAACUGUCGUUUCACCUAUGAGAAUACAACACCAAACCAUCGCACUAUGCAUGCUACCAUUUACGACAAAGCUUUUUAAUUUUAGGAGGCUUAGGCAAUUUUUUAUAAAAUCAUAUGUUUCAAGGUAUGACUCUGAAGGUUUGCAAAUGGCAAACCUGAUUUGAGCUGAUAAAAAAAAAAAUUAAGGUGGUCUACAUCUGAAAGGAAGUGGAACUUUCCUGGAACUAGUGGUUUUACAAGUGAACAUAACUGUCCAUUGUCAGACUGGAACUUGUGACCUGUAAUUCUGCUAGUAACAGCACACAGAGAAUGGCAUCUCUUUGGUUUAUCUUAAUGAUUGUGUUCAUUGUCAAGCCAUGGCAGUCUGUGGAGGAGUCUGUGUUUCGAGAGGUCCAGCUUGGAGAUACUGCCAUUUUGCUCUGCAAUAUCUCUUAUCAUUACAAGAUAACCUGGUUGAAGCACAAUCCUGAGCAGACUCCUGCUGUUUUGCUGUGUGUGAGUCUAAACGGUGGAAAUAUAAUCUAUGGGCACCGACCCAAUCUUCGUUUCGAGACAGAGAUUGCCAACAGGUCAUUGGCAUUGAAAAUCAAGAGCGUUGAGGACGCAGACCUUGGAUUGUAUUACUGCAUGGGAAAGAUUGGGGAAAGUAUGAUGGUUGGGGGAGGAAGCAAACUUCACGUGUCUGGCCUUGAAGCUAUAAUUGAAUCUUCUACCACUUAUGAACAAGCUACGCCUGCAUUGUGUAGUUGUACCUCCAGGCUCUCCUUCGCUCAUCUGCAUGCAGCUGUAGUUGGACUGGGUCUGUUGGGGAUGAUACUGACAGUUUGCAUCACUCAUCACAAGACCAAGAAAAGAAACAUGACAACCUAAACGGUCUGGUGAAAAUAAGCUGCUCUGAAUGCUUUUCUUGCUCAGUGUGUUUCAGUGUCUGAUUACAGUAUCAUAUAUAAUAAACCUGAAUGCCAUAGCAUGUAUUUUGAUGAUUUAUCUUAAGACAAAUUAUAUUGUGGUCUUGUGGCUUUGGAAUUUGGGUCAAGUUUAUCAGGAACGAAGGACUUAUUUUGUCUCAGGGUGUAAUAUUUCCUGCUGCAUAUUUUGUCAUUCGUAUUUGAACUUUUUGCACUUGGGCCUUUUGAAAUUAAAAUAAAUAAAAGACUGC